GCGAGUAUGGCCCUCACGGGUCUAAUCCACCAUAAACACCUUUGUGAACCAGUCAGGGGGACUCGGCCCGUGAAAGCCCAGGCGAUUAGCGGAAGGGCCCUCCUUUGCAAACCCGUUUAGAAGUCUUGAAAGUACUUUUGUAUAAUCUAGUAA
rnacentral:misc_RNA from 1 species